GACUUCAAGAUGGCGGUCUAUCAGAUGUCAACAAAGGUGUGGCCAUCCUCUCUACAGCCCCGGACAGACCCGUACAGCCCAAACGGAGACAGACAGAGCGGUAAACGGAGAGACAACCGGACAAAAUCAGACAGCGGAAGGCAGUGCGUUCGGGAGGGAAACACUAGGCACCACAGCAGGAACAGCUUCAGCGGGCACAGUUGCAGUUGAAUAAGCUGCUACAGGACUUUGAAGAUGAGACUAACACCCUCGUCAGGCUUGGAGACGCAUCUAUAGCCGCGCCCUUCACCUCCAAGCUCUCCUCCAUACAGUGUGGUGAAUGAUUGCAACCUCAGAUUUGAUGGCUUGUAACUCCGCUCUAAGUCAUCGUGGAUGGCUCAGAUGUUAACCACACAUAGUCUUACAAUUCAUCUCUUUAUUAGUCAAGUUUCAUUACCUUAUCUUGCAUACUUUCCGAGUUAUGUGCAAAAAUGUCGGAAGUUUUUUUAUCCUCAGAAAAUUCGAAUGGAAUAGUACCCCUCAAAUUUGCCUGCUCAUAACUCGGGUCUAAGUCAUCGUAGGUGGCUCAAAUUUUAACCACAAAUAGUCGUAUAAUUCGUCUACAUGCCUCUCAAGUUUCAUUACCCUAGCUUGAAUACUUCUUGAGAUAUGAGGGAAAAUGUCAAAACCUUUUUUUAUCCCCUUGGUAUUCUCAAGUGAAAUAGUAUUCCUCAACUUUGCCUGCUCAUAACUCGAGUCUGAAUCAUCGUAGGUAGCUCAGAUUUUUACUGCAUAUAGGCUAAUGAUUCGUCUAUGUGCCUAUCAAGUUUCAUUACCCUAGCUUGAAUACUUCUUGAGAUAUGAGGGAAAAUGUCAAAACUUUUUCCAGCCUCUCGGAAAACUUGAAUGGAAUAGUGCCCCUCAACUUUGCCUGCUCUAUGCCCCCAUCCUGGCUUACUCCCUCUCCACCUCUUUCUCUAUUUCUCGCUCUACAUUCGCUCUACAGGGCUGCCACUCGCUCCAGUUGUGGCCGAGACAUUGCUCUCGCUCUCCUUUCUCUGCACUCGCUCUAACUCGCUCUGAUUCUCUCAAAAUUCCAUGUUAACCGCAGUCAUUUUUUCCCUAUCCAGACUUUUUGAACGAGAAAAACCUUCACAUUUUUGCCCCUCCCUCGCUCUACGCUCGCUCUACACGCACCCCCAUUGCUAGGCGGCUCGCUCUACACGCACCCCCUUUGCUAGGCGGCUCGCUCUAACCUUGCUCUACCUCCCCUCCC